GACGAACGCUGGCGGCGUGCUUAACACAUGCAAGUCGAACGGAAAGGCCCCGCUUUUGUGGGGUGCUCGAGUGGCGAACGGGUGAGUAACACGUGAGUAACCUGCCCUUGACUUUGGGAUAACUUCAGGAAACUGGGGCUAAUACCGGAUAGGAGCUCCUGCUGCAUGGUGGGGGUUGGAAAGUUUCGGCGGUUGGGGAUGGACUCGCGGCUUAUCAGCUUGUUGGUGGGGUAGUGGCUUACCAAGGCUUUGACGGGUAGCCGGCCUGAGAGGGUGACCGGCCACAUUGGGACUGAGAUACGGCCCAGACUCCUACGGGAGGCAGCAGUGGGGAAUAUUGCACAAGGGGCGGAAGCCUGAUGCAGCAACGCCGCGUGCGGGAUGACGGCCUUCGGGUUGUAAACCGCUUUCGCCUGUGACGAAGCGUGAGUGACGGUAAUGGGUAAGAAGCACCGGCUAACUACGUG
rnacentral:rRNA from 1 species